CGCCGCCGCGCGGCCGCCGAGCCCGGCCGCGGAGCCCCCGCCGGGCUUGAAGGUCACCUCCGCCCGCUCGCCCCGCUCCGGAGCCGCUUUCGGCGGAGGCUGGCGAGCGGCAGCGCCUCCGCCCACAGCCGGCCAGGUCCCUGCCCGAGCGCCGCGGGGCUCCCGCUGGCCACGGCACAGCGCAGCAGCGGGAAGCCGCCCGCUUCGCUCGCCCCCUCCACCGGCCGCCGCUGCCCGCUCUGCCCGCGGGCGGGCCGGGGGCUCCGCUACCGGGCGGCGGCGGCGGGGGGGGCGCGGCGCGCAGCCGGGAGGGCGGGGAAGGGCUGAGGCGGCGGCGGCGGCGGCGGCGGCGAGGAGCCGCGUCCCGCUGCCACUUUCCCGGCGCGGCCGCUGGCUUCGGACGGGAGAGGCGCCGCGGUCGCCGCCCGCCUCUUUAUGGAAACUACACAGAAGCCCCAUGCAAGUGGUGCCUAUUGUUUUCAUGAUCGGAGACUUCUUUCUGCUGUGGGCUUCGGCCGAGCGUGUGUCAGCGCCCUGA
rnacentral:lncRNA from 1 species